AAAGGCACCGAGUAUUUUAUAAGCUCACAUGAAUCUAUUAGCCACAAAGGUCUCUGGCAACUAUGUGCCAACAGCUCUGGAGCUGUCUCCUGGACGCCAGGAAUCUGCCCAUUGAGAAGGCUGGUCAUUUACUGUAAAGAUGGUAUAUAUACCCAUUUCUCCACAUGACAUUCUAAAUAUUUUUUACUUGCUGGUUAGCAGUGAAGCCAUGUUAACUCCCUCAGUUUAUACACAAUAUCCUUGGUUCUCAGAAAAGUGAAAGGCAUUUUGCUGAACAGGUUUUUCAACUCUACUGUCCUCUAUAGCUUAUGACUGUAACUCGAGAGCUACACAGGCACACUCGGAAGAUGGCAAGGUCACUCUGGACUGAGGUAAUGGAAGAAGACUUCCCAGAAUCUGGGUGUGCCGAGGCAGAAAUCUGAGCAUCAGUACGAACGAGGUGGUGUGAGCACUAGCGAGAAGCACCAGGGAUGCUUCCGCAACAUUCAACAAAUAAUGAGACCACGUGAGAUGGAGAGAGUGUUCUCACAUGUGUCACUGGAAAAGGGACGGACAGUGGUCGCAGUGGACUGUUUUAGUGGUCUUCAUCGUGUAGUGGUACGCGAAUGAAUGGGAGAUGGGGUCACAGGAAGUGAAGAAACCGCGUGGAAGUUAGAGCAGCACGAGGUACAGUGUCAUGAGAGCCCAUAAGGAAGAUUCCUACUUUGAUGACUGCUUUUGGCCUUAACGAAACAUCCAAGGAGUCAGUAGCUCAAGAAGAGAAGUCGAACGAAAGUCAUCUAAAGCUCAAACAAAUUUAGGAAUGCCUGUGCUGUGAAGCUGACUGAGAGCUGAAGCAGAUUUAGAUCCAGUGACUGAAAAGGGCAGAAGGAGAAGAGAGUCUGGAAAACACUCUGAAGUCAUGUCACCGAGCUUCAUCUGCUUUCUUGUGGGAACACACUGUGAUGCUCUUCUGAAUCAGUGUCCCUGCCACGCUCCAAGCAGCCCGGCUGAGGCUGACCCCGCAGCCCAGGCCUGCCUCACUGCCAGGGUUCGGGUGAGCUGUUAAACUGAGUGUUCUUACUUGUAAGCCGGAAUAAUACACUGAAACAUGAAUGAAGGCAACUGCUAGCCCUCUGCUACUGAACAAAGCGGAAGAACACCAAAACACAGUAUCAUGUUGACUGGAACUGGAACCUCGACGCUGCUGGACACUCACUUGUCUCCAGUGAGUUUCCCGCGUCUUCAGUUCAGGGCUGGUUUUCAGGGCCACACCCUCCAGACCUCCCUUCUCUUCCCACCUCCUGCGUGCGGUCUGAUGCCUGCCUGCAAUUACGGCUCCGCAUUCUCCUUCCGCGAAACUGCAUCGCUGCCUCCUCUGACAAGCGUUUUCGGAUCCCUCCCGCCAUUGUGUGUACUGGGGUGUGGACAGGAGCCUGUAUAUUUCCGGAACCCUGGACUAUAAAGACCUUUUCGUACAGGUUUGCAAAUACUAUGUUGUCUUACCCAGCAGACUACAAACAUUUGGAGACAGGGACUCUACUCAUUUUCUGGAUCAAGAGUACCAAACACAAUUGUGACAUACAGUAAGUACUAGAUGUCUACUGCAUAGAGUAGCUUCUUAUCUGAACUUAAUUUACUCUAAGUAUGAUGUUUCCUAAUAACAACUUUUUGAAGUGGCAAAUGAGAUUUUUAUGUCAUAAACAUAACUGAUGGAAUUAUUUUAGAAUUGUGUAUUUUCUCUGUAACAUUAUUUUUACUCUGUUAAAAUGAAUUCUGCUAGUAUAGCAGCUAAUUCUUGAAUGUAAAAACUUCCUACUUAAAUAACCUUUACUCACGGAAACGGAACUUAAGGUAAGGUGUACGUUAAACAGAAUCUACAAGGUUUUUAAUUUUUGAAUGCUGUCUUCUUUCCAAAAUACAUGGAAUUUAGAAAUA